CAGAGCUUGCUCUGUGGAUCAGUGGCGAACGGGUGAGUAACACGUGAGCAACCUGCCCCUGACUCUGGGAUAAGCGCUGGAAACGGCGUCUAAUACUGGAUAUGAGCUGCGAUCGCAUGGUCAGCAGUUGGAAAGAUUUUUCGGUCUGGGAUGGGCUCACGGCCUAUCAGCUUGUUGGUGAGGUAAUGGCUCACCAAGGCGUCGACGGGUAGCCGGCCUGAGAGGGUGACCGGCCACACUGGGACUGAGACACGGCCCAGACUCCUACGGGAGGCAGCAGUGGGGAAUAUUGCACAAUGGGCGAAAGCCUGAUGCAGCAACGCCGCGUGAGGGAUGACGGCCUUCGGGUUGUAAACCUCUUUUAGCAGGGAAGAAGCGAAAGUGACGGUACCUGCAGAAAAAGCGCCGGCUAACUACGUGCCAGCAGCCGCGGUAAUACGUAGGGCGCAAGCGUUAUCCGGAAUUAUUGGGCGUAAAGAGCUCGUAGGCGGUUUGUCGCGUCUGCUGUGAAAUCCCGAGGCUCAACCUCGGGUCUGCAGUGGGUACGGGCAGACUAGAGUGCGGUAGGGGAGAUUGGAAUUCCUGGUGUAGCGGUGGAAUGCGCAGAUAUCAGGAGGAACACCGAUGGCGAAGGCAGAUCUCUGGGCCGUUACUGACGCUGAGGAGCGAAAGGGUGGGGAGCAAACAGGCUUAGAUACCCUGGUAGUCCACCCCGUAAACGUUGGGAACUAGUUGUGGGGUCCAUUCCACGGAUUCCGUGAC
rnacentral:rRNA from 1 species